rnacentral:rRNA from 1 species
CCAGACUCCUACGGGAGGCAGCAGUGGGGAAUAUUGCACAAUGGGGGGAACCCUGAUGCAGCGACGCCGCGUGAGUGAAGAAGUAUUUCGGUAUGUAAAGCUCUAUCAGCAGGGAAGAAAAUGACGGUACCUGACUAAGAAGCCCCGGCUAACUACGUGCCAGCAGCCGCGGUAAUACGUAGGGGGCAAGCGUUAUCCGGAUUUACUGGGUGUAAAGGGAGCGUAGACGGCAGAGCAAGUCUGAAGUGAAAGCCCGCGGCCCAACUGCGGGACUGCUUUGGAAACUGUGCUGCUGGAGUGCAGGAGAGGCAAGUGGAAUUCCUAGUGUAGCGGUGAAAUGCGUAGAUAUUAGGAGGAACACCAGUGGCGAAGGCGGCUUGCUGGACUGUAACUGACGUUGAGGCUCGAAAGCGUGGGGAGCAAACAGGAUUAGAUCCCCCCGUA